AGCUGGUAGCUUAGUGGUUAGAGCUGUUGGCUUUGGACCCAGAAGGUCGCAGGUUUGAUCCCCACUUCCAGCUG
rnacentral:tRNA from 1 species